AUUUAUGCCAAACAUUCUAAACCCUCAAACAUGGUGGAAAACAUCAAUUUCUCAAAACAGAAAAUUGUACACAUAUAGGCACGCUAAAUUCAGCAUAUAAUCAUCAUAUAACAACCAUCAUAGCAUCAAAAUUCAAUAUUAUGAAUCAAAACACUCAACCCUAAUUAGGUUAAGGGUCCCUCCAUCUACGCCUCAUGCUUUAAUACCCAUUAGAGAAGCACAUCUCUCCCCUUACCUGAAUUCCUUGCAAUUUUUUUGAAUUGAAACCUUCAGUUUUUCCCUUGAUUACGUUGCCUCUUUCCUCUUUGUUCCUUUUUCUCAAAUGUCACGUACUGUGAAAAUCUCCAUAAACCUAGAUUCCUCUUAACUUUUUAUUUUUAAGGUAAACUUUUUCAAAUUACCAACUUGGCCCAAACUUAGUUAUCUCUUAUUCUUUCCUCCCACUAAAUUUCUCAAUUUCUCAUAUUUGGCCCAAUUAUUCUAUCUUAACUAAUUAAUAUAAUAAAAAUAAAUAAAACAUUAUUUUUAAUUAUCAAAACAAUUCUAAAUUAUUUUACUUACUUCUAUCAUUUAUCUAUACCCCUAACUCAAGAACACAUACCCCGUUAACACCCAGAUAAAAUAAAUCAUCAAAAUGCAUAAUUCAAACAAUUAAAAUAUACUAAAAAUAUCUAAUAAAAAAUGGGUGUUACAAGUCCUCCCCGUAGAGAUUUCCUGUCGUCGCCUCCGUCACGCCGGAAAUUGCUUUCGACAGCGGAGGAGGCUCAAACACAGCAUACCAUAUCUCAAAUUAACUGUCUAUUCUUCCUCUUUCUAAGCCCCAAGCUCAUCCCUUUCAAGUUUCCCCUCAAUCGUGUAAAUCGAAGGGAUCAAAAGAUGAACCCUAAGUUAGAUUUUAGAAAAUACAAGCAAGAGAGAGGAGAUUGGAGCCGAAGCAAUUAAGGCUUCAAUUCCAAAGGCUAUGGACUACGUCGUGCCAACAAGGAAAUGCAAAGAAGAAACUGAGAUCUAUGAACCUGGACGCGAAUUCUCCGAUGAAGAUAAUAACAAGAAAAUACCAGAGGCAAAACACUAGGUUGGAGCAUUGUCCGAGUUGAAUGUGGAUGCAACAUUAGAUCAUAAGGAUGACCAAGGCUUUUUUUUACUUUUGAAAUCAACCCAAAGUAUCAAGUCAAUGUGAUUAGUAUAUGGUAUAAUGUAUUAAUGCCAUGUAUAAUGCAAUGCUUGUAAAUAAACCCACAUUUGGGUCAUUCUUAUGUAGUAGGACAAACCAAAGUGUAAUUGAUUUUAAAAUGGUGGAUCCAAGUUUAAUUCAAUUCUAA